rfam:Ciona savignyi cont_21680, whole genome shotgun sequence.
GCCUCGAUGGCACAGUAGGCAGCGCGUGAGUCUCAUAAUCUCAAGGUCGUGAGUUCGAUCCUCACUUGGCGCA